rnacentral:lncRNA from 1 species
GCUCUAAAAUGCACCGAGCUGAAAAACGGAAGCAAUUAUGUCAAUAAUCUCGAAUCAAAGUUGUGAUGAGAUGACUCCAAGCUAAAGAAUAUAAACAUUAUGUGGUAUGAUCUCAAACUAUAGUUGUUUUGAGAUGUCGCCUUGUGUUUAAAAUAACAGAAGCUCCUCCAUCGUUAUCUCACUUGCAGUUGCUUGUAUUCCUGCUCCAAAUUGCUACUUUAAAUGAAACCUUCGUUAAUAA